CCAGAAUCGAAACUGACCUUUGGUCCGUUAUCUGACGCUGGGCGUCCUCACGUAGUGGUAGUGCCUGCUAGGGGAAGCGUAUUUCUCCGCUACCCACCUCUCAAUAAAACUGCUGGUUUAAAAAAAUAAAUACAUUUCCACCCUCUUCUUUCCUGUCUCCCUCCUCUUGUUCAGAUUCAGUAUAUUUGUUCUGAACUGGUAAAACGGUCUAGUCACAUGAUUGGCCCAGGCUGACAUUCAGGAACGGGCAUGAUGCUAGAUUCCAGG